AUAUUGAAUUGUAAAACACCGCACUUGCGCGGAUGCAGCAUAGGAGUCUGCUCGUUGGUUUCAGGUGUCUGGCCAUCGCCUUCCAUUCGCCCCGCGCCCGAUGCUGCAAGAGUCAUCUCCCACACUGACUGGAUACAUGAAGACUUUCCCGUAAACGAUAUCUCCCCCGCUAUAACGGGCCGGAAGAUAAUUACUGCGUUGACGUGUUGAUAUACAUAUAUUUAAAAUAUCAAAUAUGAAUCAUGCAUUUGAUAUUUCUAGCAAAUUUGCUGGUGAGCAUCCUUGCAGCCGGACUCCAUUCAUCCAUAGCAUCAAUCGGAGGAGAGAAUGAGGUGGUGGAGAGAGACGCAGAACCAUUAUUGUCGGAGCGAGAGGCAACUGCAGCAGCGGCCACAGACAACACAAGUCACAGUGCGGCUGAGCAUGUGAUCACUUACCCCUCUCGGCUCAUCUAUUACCUGAAGGAGGACUCAGAGAGCACUUAUCAUGACCUGGACACCCGGGCUAGAAACCAGGGCACAGAGGGUCAUGACCAGGCAGUCCAUCUUGCCCAAGCCAGUUUCCAGUUAGAUGCCUUUGGCUCCAAAUUUGUACUGGACCUAACGUUAAACAAUGACUUGUUGUCGUCGGAUUAUGUGGAGAUCCACUAUGAGGAGGGUAAAUCGGUUCUAUCAAAGGGUGGUGAACACUGUUACUACCACGGCCAGGUGAGGGGGAAAGAUGAUUCCCACGUGGCCUUGUCUACCUGCAAUGGGCUGCACGGAAUGUUUGACGAUGGACUCUAUCUCUAUAUAAUGGAGCCUUUGCAACAGACUCACUCAAUUGAUACAGCCGCACGGCCCCACUCACUGCGCAGGAUGCCCAGCCUCCAGUGGAACAGUGACUCAGAGGAACUGGUGAAGGACGAGCGGCUGCUUCCGGAGCUGGACGACAUGUCCUGGCUGAAGCGCAGGAAAAAGCGGGCUAUGCCUAGGAAUGUAUUUGAGGAGAUGAAGUAUUUGGAGAUUAUGAUCGUCAGUGACCAUAAUAUGUAUAAGCGACUCAAGACCAAGCAGCACACCAGGAACUCUGCCAAGUCAGUGGUGAACCUUGUUGAUGCUAUCUUUAAGGAGCACCUGCACACACGGGUGGUUCUGGUUGCCGUGGAGAUCUGGUCGGACAAGGACCCGAUUCCCAUCAGUGUGAAGCCUCUGGACAUGCUGAAAGAUUUCUCUAAGUACCGGGCGCAGAGCAUCAAGCAGCACACUGACGCUGUGCACCUCUUCUCCAAUGUGACCUUCCACUAUCGCCGAAGCAGUGUAGCGUACUUCGGGGGGAUGUGCUCUGUGAGCCGUGGAGUAGGGGUCAACGAGUAUGGCACCACAUGGACUAUGGCUUCGUCACUCUCCCAGAGCUUGGCACAGAACCUCGGCAUCCAGUGGGAUCCAGCCGCAAAGAGAAAGGAAUGCGGCUGCUCUGACUCCUGGGUGGGCUGCAUCAUGGAGGACACUGGGGUCCAGCAUCCCCGGAAGUUCUCCAAGUGCAGCAUCUCAGACUACAAGGAGUUCCUGCUGAAGGGUGGUGGAUCAUGUCUCUAUAACAGGCCGAACAAGCUGUUUGAAUCUACAGAGUGUGGGAAUGGAUACAUUGAGGUGGGAGAGGAGUGUGACUGCGGAGAUAGAACAGAGUGCUACAAGGACUGCUGUAAGAAGUGUUCCCUAGCUAAUGGUGCACAUUGCGCUGACGGACCUUGCUGCAACAACACUUGUCUGUUUUACCCACGUGGUUACAGUUGUCGCUAUGCGGUGAAUGACUGUGACAUCUCAGAGACAUGCUCAGGAGACUCUGGCCAGUGCCCUCCCAACCUCCACAAACAAGAUGGCUACCAAUGUCAAGUCGACCAGGGACGCUGCUACAGCGGAGAGUGCAAGACCAGAGGAAACCAGUGCAAAUAUCUCUGGGGCCCAAAGGCGGGAGGGUCUGAGAAGUUCUGCUACGAGAAGCUAAACACAGAAGGAACCGAGAAGGGUAACUGUGGAAAGGAUGGAGAUAAGUGGCUCCAGUGCAGCAAGCAUGAUGUGUUCUGUGGGUUCCUGCUGUGCAGUAACAUCGGACACAACCCCCGCAUCGGCAUGAUGAAGGGAGACAUCACUCGUACCUCCUUCAACCAUCAGGGCAGGCCGGUGAACUGCAGUGGUGGCCAUGUUCUUUUGGACGAUGAGACUGACUUAGGCUACGUGGAGGACGGAGCGCCCUGCGGGCCGUCCAUGAUGUGCCUUGACCACAAGUGUCUGCCCAUCCAGUCCCUCAACAUGAGCACCUGCCCCAGCGGGCCCAACGGCCAGGUGUGCUCAUCCCACGGGGUGUGUAACAACGAGGCGACGUGCACCUGUGACACCACCUGGGCGGGGACUGACUGCAGCAUGCCCGACCCUCCCAAGGAGCCUGCACCCACAGAAGACGAAGAACCAAAAGGUCCCAGUGCCACCAAUCUUAUAAUAGGCUCCAUCGCCGGUGCCAUCCUGGUGGCUGCCAUAGUGCUGGGGGGGACCGGAUGGGGCUUUAAGUAAGCAACACACCACAUGCCUCUUCUCCAUGACUCUGGCAUCCCCUGCUGUUGCAUAUAGACACCAGUGUUUGAGCUCCUGCUACAGAAUACGGACAUGGACUCAGGGACACACACACACACACACACACGCACACGCACACACCUGAUACAGAAUGGGACACACACACAUACCUGAUGCACGUUUGUCCGAUGUACCAUCACUUGCACAGUAAGCAGUAAACACACACUGAUAUGUUUUGAAGGCAUCUUGCAUGUGUUCAUGAUACCUUUACUUUUCUUACAGGUCCACAAUCAAUCCUAUAGGGUGAAUAAAUACCAUAGAGAUUAUGUUGGGGGAGAGGUUGGGCCUCUGUGAGUCUGUGGCAGAAUCUCAAACUGAUAAAACAGGCACAGUGCAAAGUUUGACGUGCAUGUUCAGUACAGUUACUAAACCUGCUAGCUAAGCAGAAUAAUCAUUAAAUCAGCUAGGAGCACUUGGAGACCAAACUGUUCUUACUACUAAUCUAGUAUGUGCAUUAAGAUUAUACUGUAGCUUUUUGACACAUUCAGAUUAUAGCUCUUCGACACAUUCAGAUUAUAGCUCCUCGACACAUUCAGAUUAUAGCUCCUCGACACAUUCAGAUUAUAGCUCCUCGACACAUUCAGAUUAUAGCUCCUCGACACAUUCAGAUUAUAGCUCCUCGACACAUUCAGAUUAUAGCUCCUGGACACAUUAUGUUGUGUUCACUAAUUUGAGGCAUCAAGUGGCAGUCGCUCACUGGUCAACCUGUUGUGCUGGGCAACAGGGGUGUUACACACCAUUAAUCUAAAGAAAGAAAAGGAGUUGAUAAAUAUAGUUCAAACACCAAAGCAUGCCAGUUAGCAAAGCAUCAUGUUUGUCACCAAAACAUUUAUUUCUGCAUGUUUACUUGGAUAAGGUCAGUUCAUUGCACAAAGGCUGAGCCUAACCCAGGAUGACAUGCUCCUGGGUUACCAUACUCUUAUCACUACCAUCAUCUUUUUCUCACUCCGGUACGAGGGUUCGAGGGUGAGAGUUUAAGCGGAAGUGGUGAGAGAGAAGCCAGGGCCAUAUUGUUGGCCAAAGCCUUUGUGUCAUGGCUGGCCACACCCACCUGGAUGGCCAGGCUCCGCCCUAGAGCAGAGCAGGACUCCCGGACCCGCCCACAACAGCUGCCAUUGCUGCCUGCUUCACAGACCUGGUACACACACGGCGCAUUGUACUGCAUGACCCACCACGCACAUCAAUAGAGCCAUCUCCAACUGGCCUACUAUUGAAACAGAAAUGUGAAGAAGCGAAAGUACGACCCCAACGCCAGCGCCAUAUAAGGUUGGAGGAGAGGUCAGCGGGCACAGAGGAAACCUUCUGGGCUUCCUUAGUACUCUACAGCUGGACUGCACUUACUGCGGAGGAUUUUUUGGGCAUUAGAUUUACUUGAAAAAUACAUAGAGGACAAUUUAACAUUAUCCAUCUUAGUCAUGUAGAGAUGUAGCCUUUUUCAACCCUAACAACCCACCUAACAACCUCACCCACCUACCGAACAACCCACCUAACAACCUCACCCACCUACCUAACAACCCAGCUAACAACCUCACCCACCUACCUAACA